GUGGAUUCCUUAAAUGUUUGUUCGUCCGAUGAGAGAAGUGCAAUGCGUUUGUUGAUAGCUGUAGGUAAUUGUCUUGUAAUGCUUGGUGGAUGGUUUGAGUGUCUGUGGAUGUACAAUGGAUCGUCAUUGGGUUUCCUGUGUGGUUUGUGUUUUGCGUUGAUCAGGUCGAAAGUAACAUCUAAAAAAUUUACAACGUUCAUACUUACUUCGGCGGUGAUUUUAAGGUCAAAUUGCUCGAAAAUUUUGUGUAGCUCUUUUCUAGUUUUGUCU